AUUGAACGCUGGCGGCAUGCCUUACACAUGCAAGUCGAACGGUAACAGGUCUUCGGAUGCUGACGAGUGGCGAACGGGUGAGUAAUACAUCGGAACGUGCCUAGUAGUGGGGGAUAACUACUCGAAAGAGUGGCUAAUACCGCAUGAGAUCUACGGAUGAAAGCAGGGGAUCGCAAGACCUUGUGCUACUAGAGCGGCCGAUGGCGGAUUAGGUAGUUGGUGGGAUAAAAGCUUACCAAGCCGACGAUCUGUAGCUGGUCUGAGAGGACGAUCGGCCACACUGGGACUGAGACACGGCCCAGACUCCUACGGGAGGCAGCAGUGGGGAAUUUUGGACAAUGGGCGCAAGCCUAAUCCAGCAAUGCCGCGUGCAGGAUGAAGGCCUUCGGGUUGUAAACUGCUUUUGUACGGAACGAAAAGCCCCGGGUUAAUACCCUGGGGUCAUGACGGUACCGUAAGAAUAAGCACCGGCUAACUACGUGCCAGCCGCCGCAGUAA
rnacentral:rRNA from 1 species